AGUGAACGCUGGCGGUAGGCCUAACACAUGCAAGUCGAACGGCAGCACAGUAAGAGCUUGCUCUUACGGGUGGCGAGUGGCGGACGGGUGCGGAAUACAUCGGAAUCUACUUUUUCGUGGGGGAUAACGUAGGGAAACUUACGCUAAUACCGCAUACGACCUACGGGUGAAAGCAGGGGAUCUUCGGACCUUGCGCGAUUGAAUGAGCCGAUGUCGGAUUAGCUAGUUGGCGGGGUAAAGGCCCACCAAGGCGACGAUCCGUAGCUGGUCUGAGAGGAUGAUCAGCCACACUGGGACUGAGACACGGUCCAGACUCCUACGGGAGGCAGCAGUGGGGAAUAUUGGACAAUGGGCGCAAGCCUGAUCCAGCCAUACCGCGUGGGUGAAGAAGGCCUUCGGGUUGUAAAGCCCUUUUGUUGGGAAAGAAAAGCAGCAGGUUAAUACCCCGCUGUUCUGACGGUACCCAAAGAAUAAGCACCGGCUAACUUCGUG
rnacentral:rRNA from 1 species